rnacentral:rRNA from 1 species
UUUGUGACAUACCUAUAACUGUUGCUUCGGCGGGUAGGGUCUCCGUGACCCUCCCGGCCUCCCGCCCCCGGGCGGGUCGGCGCCCGCCGGAGGAUAACCAAACUCUGAUUUAACGACGUUUCUUCUGAGUGGUACAAGCAAAUAAUCAAAACUUUUAACAACGGAUCUCUUGGUUCUGGCAUCGAUGAAGAACGCAGCGAAAUGCGAUAAGUAAUGUGAAUUGCAGAAUUCAGUGAAUCAUCGAAUCUUUGAACGCACAUUGCGCCCGCCAGCAUUCUGGCGGGCAUGCCUGUUCGAGCGUCAUUUCAACCCUCAAGCUCUGCUUGGUGUUGGGGCCCUACAGCUGAUGUAGGCCCUCAAAGGUAGUGGCGGACCCUCCCGGAGCCUCCUUUGCGUAGUAACUUUACGUCUCGCACUGGGAUCCGGAGGGACUCUUGCCGUAAAACCCCCAAUUUUCCAAAGGUUGACCUCGGAUCAGGUAGGAAUACCCGCUGAACUUAAGCAUAUCAAUAAGCGGAGGA